rnacentral:rRNA from 1 species
AGCGUUGUUCGGAAUUACUGGGUGUAAAGGGUUCGUAGGCGGUGUGGCAAGUCGGGAGUGAAAUCUAUGGGCUUAACCCAUAGGCUGCUUCCGAAACUGCUGUGCUUGAGUGUGGGAGAGGCGCGUGGAAUUGCAGGUGUAGCGGUGAAAUGCGUAGAUAUCUGCAGGAACACCCGUGGCGAAAGCGGCGCGCUGGACCACAACUGACGCUGAGGAACGAAAGCUAGGGGAGCAAACAGGAUUAGAUACCCUAGUAGUCCUAGCCCUAAACGAUCAGGACUUGGGGUGCCGCCCGUUCGGGCGUCGUCCCGGAGCUAACGCGUUAAGUCCUGCACCUGGGGAGUACGGUCGCAAGACUGAAACUCAAAGGAAUUGACGGGGGCCCGCACAAGCGGUGGAACAUGUGGUUCAAUUCGACGCUACGCGAGGAACCUUACCUGGGCUCGAAAUGCUUCUGACCAGCUGUAGAAAUACGGCCUUCCCGCAAGGGACAGGAGUAUAGGCGCUGCAUGGCUGCCGUCAGCUCGUGCCGUGAGGUGUUGGGUUAAGUCCCGCAACGAGCGCAACCCCUGCACGUAGUUGCCACUCCGCAAGGAGGGAACUCUACGUGGACUGCUCCGGAUAACGGAGAGGAAGGUGGGGAUGACGUCAAGUCCGCAUGGCCUUUAUGUCCAGGGCUACACACGUGUUACAAUGCAGGGCACAAACCGUUGCCAACCCGCGAGGGGGAGCUAAUCGGAAAAAACUCUGCUCAGUUCGGAUUGCAGUCUGCAACUCGACUGCAUGAAGCCGGAAUCGCUAGUAAUGGCGUAUCAGAUCGACGCCGUGAAUACGUUCCCGGGCCUUGUACACACCGCCCGUCACAUCACGAAAGUGAGCUGUACUAGAAGUCGCCACGCUAACCGCAAGGAGGCAGGCGCCCAAGGUAUGACUCAUGAUUGGGGUGAAGUCGUAACAAGGUAGCCGUAGGAGAACCUGCGGCUGGAUCACCUCCUU